ACUACAGACUGAAGAGUGGUAAGGGCUAGGCAAUUGGAGUUAAGUGACUUGCCCAGGGUCACACAACUAGGAAAUGUCUGAGACCAGAUUUGAACCUCCUUAUUUUUCUUUCUUCCACUGAGCCACCUAGCUGCCCCUAAUGGUGGAAAUUGGAGAUAGGAAGACCUUCUUAAACUUCUGUAUUCACCUUCAGUUGGCCCCAUGUAUUUCUGCCACGAAUCCAAAAAGGUUGCUGAUGCCUGUCAAGAAGAUGAUGCUUUUUGGAAAAUUGUCCCCUGUCACCAUCUUCUCCCACUGAGGAUGGCUAGAAUUCUUUUUGGACCAGGCAUUACGACCAACCCUAGUUUGUGCAGGGAGAUGGUUACUAUGCCACUUAGGGCUGAUGACCAAGGAACUAACCUUUUCUCUGUGCUCGAUUGUAGGAGCUGGUGGUCUUGGAGGCCUUGGAGGUGGAGGCCUUGGACCUGGAGGCCUUGGAGCUGGGGGACUAGGAGGAGCAGGGCUUGGGGCAGGAGGCAAACCACCCAAACCAGGUAAGGCAUCUUCUCUCCUUCUCUGAUCGCCAUCUUUGACUGCCUCCAAGGACCAAAGAUGGGUUGGGUUGAGGGGGACCAGCAGUCAAGGGAUGAGGGACGUAAGGUUUGGGAGGAAGCAAAAGUGCAAAAGGGAAAUUGGAGCAGUCUGGGGAUUCCUCAAGAGGGGGACAAUGCAUAUCUCCCCAGCUUGGCUAGAAAGCUCCCAUGCUGGGCUCCUUAAAGGCUGUGAGGACGAAAUAGACAGAUGAGCAGCCCUGGAGGGUACCACGAGGAUGGAGAAGCAUCCUUUACUUUAGGAAAAUGAGGCCUGUGGACAUUCCCUGCAGAUUGAAGUCAUUCCUGGCCUAGAAUCUUUGAUGAAAGGGUCACAAUUAGCUGGUACUUUGUGCAUUACACAGCAGACAUUUAGGAGGAAAGGGACUUCAGGAGCUACUGAAUGCACAAACUCAUUUUACAGAUGGAGAAACUGAGGCCCACAAACUUACUCAAGGUCACACAGCAUUAAAGAAGUACCUGGAUCUAAACGUAGAUCCUCUGACCCCAAGUUUAGCACUUUCAAUUGCAGCAUAUGACCAAAACAGCGACAAUAGCAAUAGCAUUUGUGGGGCACUUUAAGAUUUGUGAAAUGUUUCAUAUUUAUGAGAUGAUUUUACCCUCACAGAUCCUCGCAGGUCGGCGCCCCCUGAGAAAACAACUAAAUUUCGUGUCUCCCUCAAUAGUACGGGCAUAAUAAUGGUUCCUACCUGCCAGGAUAGUGAGGAUAAAAUCAUC
rnacentral:lncRNA from 1 species